UACGAAGGUGGCAAGCGUUUUUCGGAUUUACUGGGCGUACAGGGAGCGUAGGCGGUUGGAUAAGCCCUCCGUGAAAUCUCCAGGCUUAACCUGGAAAGUGCAGAGGGGACUGUUCAGCUAGAGGAUGGGAGAGGAGCGCGGAAUUCCCGGUGUAGCGGUGAAAUGCGUAGAGAUCGGGAGGAAGGCCGGUGGCGAAGGCGGCGCUCUGGAACAUUUCUGACGCUGAGGCUCGAAAGCGUGGGGAGCAAACAGG
rnacentral:rRNA from 1 species